UGGGGAAUAUUGGACAAUGGGGGCAACCCUGAUCCAGCGAUGCCGCGUGGGUGAAGAAGGCCUUCGGGUUGUAAAGCCCUUUAGGUUGGGACGAAGGGUGUGGUAGGAAAUGACCGCACUUUGACGGUACCGACAGAAUAAGCACCGGCAAACUCUGUGCCAGCAGCCGCGGUAAUACAGAGGGUGCGAGCGUUAAUCGGAAUUACUGGGCGUAAAGGGCGCGUAGGCGGUUAUAUGAGUGUGAUGUGAAAGCCCCGGGCUUAACCUGGGAAGUGCAUCGCAAACGAUAUAGCUAGAGUAGAUGAGAGGGUGGCGGAAUUUCCGGUGUAGCGGUGAAAUGCGUAGAGAUCGGAAGGAACGUCGAUGGCGAAGGCAGCCACCUGGCAUCAUACUGACGCUGAGGCGCGAAAGCGUGGGUAGCGAACAGGAUUAGAUACCCGCGUAGUCC
rnacentral:rRNA from 1 species